CUUUUUUUCAAAAGGUACAUUCUGCUCUCUUGAAACUUAUCUGGAAUAAAAAACAAUCUAGGAUUAAAUAAUCCAUACUCCAAAAGCUCAGGGUUAGUGGGGGUGUAGGUUUGCCAGACUUGAUUCAUUAUUAUUAUGCAACUAAUGCAGCGAUGGUGCUGAAGUUCAACCAAGAGCAUGAUAUUUUAUGGCUGCUUCCAUUUCAGUUCACAAGGUUGGCGGACAUGUUUCUUACGACCAAAACCACUAUUAAGGCUUGGAAUAU